AUGAUCUUUAGGACUUUCCACUCUGAUCACAAAUCUUCUCAACCCCUAGUAUUCCAGCUGGCCCAGAGAUGGAGGGAGAGAUGUCUUCGUAGAUCCUUGGGAUGCGUUCAAAAAUGCAGUCUUUCUUUUAGUCAUGUCUCUGAAGAGAGCACGCACCUUCCUGUAGUUGGUAUAACUCCUCAAUUAGAAGAAUCAGAAAAAUAGGAGAAGAUUAAAGGCUUUGUGCUCUGCAGCAACAAACAGCGCUGGCUGCGUGUCAGGGACCAGCCCGGCUGAGCCCCACAGCUCCCACGUACACCAAAUCAGCCACUGAGAUAUUUUGAUUUGCAGAGGAGGGACUGGGACAAGUCACUGUAAGUAUACGUUUAUCUGGUUGUCCUGAGCUUUGUUGUUCUUUCAAGUGAUUUGGAGUAAGGUUCUGGUUUUGGCAGGACAACUUUUGGCAGAAUCCUCAAUACGACCUUUCAUAACCGCCCUGUGGUUCAUUCACUGGAUGCUGGUUUUGCUGGUGCUUAUCUCUGAAGUGUUACAAAAAAUUCAAAUUUGUCCUUAGGUUGUACAAGAUGUGAUGAAAAGAGUGAUUUUUUUAUUGUAUCUGCCAAAAUAGGACCAUGGGAAAGUGAGGGGACUGUCUUACAGUUACAGUUAGUGCAUCACAUUUUCAUGCAAAUCUGAAAGCGGCCAUCGCAUGCAAAGUGUGCAAGCAUGUACGAAAAAAGAAAGCACAUACCCCCUAGUCAGGACUUUAAAGAGAGAGAACUC
rnacentral:lncRNA from 1 species